UACGUAGGGUGCGAGCGUUGUCCGGAAUUACUGGGCGUAAAGAGCUCGUAGGUGGUUUGUCGCGUUGUUCGUGAAAACUCACAGCUCAACUGUGGGCGUGCGGGCGAUACGGGCAGACUGGAGUACUGCAGGGGAGACUGGAAUUCCUGGUGUAGCGGUGGAAUGCGCAGAUAUCAGGAGGAACACCGGUGGCGAAGGCGGCAUCCUGGACCAACACUGACACUGAUGAGCGAAAGCCAGGGGAGCAAACGGG
rnacentral:rRNA from 1 species